CCCAACUGUCUCUUCCUUAUGCCCCCCCAACUGCCUCCAGUGUGUGAUGUUCCUCUCUCUGAGUCUAUGUGUUCUCGUUGUUCAACACCCACCUAUGAGUGAGAACAUACGGUGUUUGACUCUCUGUUCUUGUGUCAGUUUGCUGAGAAUGAUGGUUCUUAAAUAGAGCUGCUAUCUUCAGCUUUGUUAGGUAAAUGUAGCUGACACUCAUUUUGUAUAUGAGGCUUGGCUUUUUAAGUUUGAAGGGAGAAUAGCAUAUCCUCUGAGUAUGGGUAUAAAAUGAUUUUGGUAGGUGAGUACUAUAUCUGAGACUUGUAAGGUUAGCUUUGUUGAAGUUUCUCUCAAGAUUAGUGGUAGGUAAUAGUCAAAAGCAUUUCCCCUCAGUGUGGGCAAUGCCUGCAGCAGAUUUUAUUUCACCUAUGCUUCAGUAGACGUGUUUAAACUGACAUGGCUCUGUUUUAUGCUCCCUCACCUUCAUUUUUCAUCAUUCCUUCAUUCUUUUAGUGAACUGUAGUCACUGCCUAUGUGCUAAACACUGAGAAUCAUACUGAAAAUGAUGCCCAUUGAAUAGAGAAGGCAGAUAUAGAAAUAAAAUAAAAAUGUUCUAGGAGCAAGGAAUGAAUAUACACACAGGGUGUCAUGGAGGCAGCAGAGAGAGAUAUUAGAUGCAACCUGAAAAGGCAGAGUGAUACCUGAGAAGGCUUUAUAGAGGUGAUAGGAGGUAAAAUAGAAGGUAAAAGACCUGAGCCGAGAAUUAGAGAUGAGUAGAAACAGACCUGGUGAAGAGGGAGAGGAGGCAGGCUGCUGUUUCCAGAGAGGAGGUUGGAGAUAUUACACACAGGAUCUGCAAGAGCCAGAAGGGCAGGAUAUAGGUUGCAGAGACGAACCUCGUCAGAUCAUCAGCAGCCUUUGGUGCAGGCCAAGGCACUAGGAUUCCUUUCUGAGGACAAACAGGAACCAAUCUCAGGUUUUAAGCAGGUUGUACCAUGAUCAAAUUUAGAAAGAUAAUUCUGACCACAGUGAGGAAAAGGAAUUUGAAAGGAAUUAAAUCAUUUAGGAGACCGUUCGAUAGUCCAGGUAAGAAAUGGGCCUGAACCAGCAAAAGAAUGGAGUCAAUGUUUAGAAGGUAAAAUAAACAGACCUUGAUUAAAUAUAGUGGAUAAAUAUAGCAAAUAAACUGAAAUGCAUCUAGAAACUACCUGUUAAACAUCAGGUGGUCCACUGGUUUGAGAAGUCACUUUUAUGCUUAAUAAUUUUCCCACUAGCUCUAGUUUUCAGAGUUACAAGCAUUAAAACUAUGUACAGGAAUAACAGCUUCCAAAAUCUGUUGAACUGUCCUCUUCUUCACGAACCUAUAGGUGUGAGUUGUUAUGAUUUACUUUUGACUACUGACUCAUCUUUUAGUUUGGGGGUUAAAUUAUAACUUAGUUGGAGAGGAUUAGUCUACUGCUGCAUCUUUUUCUCUGGUAUUUUAUUUCAGAGUUCCAAUGCUAUUUUUCAUAAGCAAUCUAGAUUUCAAAUUACCCUUGUCAAGUUUUUGUACAGGGAGUAUUAGCUUCUUAAGAAAAUUAUUUUAAACAAUAAAUGUUUAUCAAGUCUAGAGUAUUAAUUGAAAAGAAUGUUAUAAUAUUAUAAAAGCUGAAAAGGAUGCUAUAAAGUUAUAAGGAAUGUUACAAACUUAUGAUGUUAUAAAAUAAACAUACAGGCCAGGCACGGUGGCUCAAGCCUAUAAUCCCAGCACUUUGGGAGGCUGAGGCGGGUGGAUCAUGAGGUCAAGAGAUUGAGACCAUCCUGGUCAACAUGGUGAAACCCCGUCUCUACUAAAAAUACAAAAGAUGAGCUGAGCAUGGUGGCGUGUGCCUGUAAUCCCAGCUACUCAGGAGGCUGAGGCAGGAGAAUUGCCUGAACUCAGGAGGCGGAGGUUGCAGUGAGCCAAGAUCGCGCCAUUGCACUCCAGCCCGGGUAACAAGAGCGAAACUCCGUCUAAAGAAAAAAUAAUAAAUAAAUAAAUAAAUAAUUAAAAAAUAAACAUGCAUAAACAUAUGUGGUUAUUAUCUACUUGUGAAUUUAUUUUGUAAUCAAGAUGAGCAAUAUAACCUGAAACAUAAUAUUUUCAUUUAAAUUGUCCUAGAGGUUCUGAGUCCCUUCUUUGCUCUUAAUAUAUAUAAAUUGAUCAUACCAGUCAUUGCAAUGAUUUCUUUGAUACUGGGUCAUCAACUCCCUAUUAUAACAUUAUUCAUAUGGGAAGAUACUGACUCAAAUUGCAAAGGCAAGGACCACGCUGUGAUAAAAACAGGCUGUUGACUAUGUCCCGUUGUGUGUUGUACAGUAAAUGUGCUCUCCUAUUUGUUUUGUUAUGACUGUGUUUUGAUCCCUAAAGCUUCUUUGUUUCUGAUUUGUUUCUUUCUUUAUCUGAGAGCAACUGGUUCAUUAAAAUCCAACAACAUAAAGAAAAAAAACUGCUAAGAAUGAGUCUGAGCAGCAGUAACCAAAAGUUACACAUCCUACUGUAAAGUAAAGCACAUCAAGGUGAAGUAUUAUAUUGUCACUUUGUAUUAUCUGAGGGUUGGCUAGAAACACAUUUAAAUUUUGUUCUAACUAGUGUAUUCUGUCAGUUAAAUAGCUAAAGGGUUAGUUAUUUAAGCCAUUUUGGCAAACUGUAAAAAACACAUGACAGCAACAACAAUAAAAACACCUUAUCUAACUGAAAGUCUAUAUUCAUGUUUUAUUUUUGCAAAAUGAAUCAAGCAAAACUUAGAAGCUUCAAACAACUCACAUAGAUUAUCACACAAUUUCUCUAGAUCAAGAGUCUAGGAUGGCUCAACGAUCUACCAAGGGUCUCACAGGGCCACAAUUAAGGUGUUGGCCAGGGCUGCAUUUGCAUCUGGAUGCUUGACUGGGGAGAAACUAAUUUCUAAGGUCAUUCAGGUUGCUAGCAGAAUUAAUUCCCUUGUGGUUGCUUGACUGCCGGUCCUGGAUUUUUGCCGCUGUCAGCUGGAGGCUGGCUGAAGUUUUUGACAUUUUUGCUUCUAAGAUAUGGCUGGCUACGUUAUCAACCUUGUAAGGAGAGUUUCUUGGUUUUGGGAGGGUCCAGUUCCUCUUUUGAAGACUUACACCUGAGUAAAUCAACCCCUACAUCCAGGAUAAUCUCCCUUAUAAUAAGUCAAACACAGCUGAUUUAUAAUAUCAGUUGGUUUUAUUGACAUCUGCAAUAUUCCUACACCUUUGUCAUACUGUUUUGGCUAGGAGCAAGUCAAGUCACAGGUUCCACCCAAAAUCAAGGGAGAGCAUGAACACCAGGGAGCAGGAUUCAGAGGGGCUGUCCUAGGAUACAUCCAUCCAGAGUUUUAUUUUACAAGACACUUCUCUUGUUUUAUCUUACAAUGCAUUAACAUUUGAUUACAAAAUUACACAUUUCCUUUUAGCGUGAGGGAAGAGAAUAGUUGGUUGGGGACGAACCUAUCAGUCAUGUCCAGGGACGAUGCCGUGGGCAUUUUGUUUGGGCCUGCUGCCUCUGCCCAGGCUCUUUGUACCAGACACUUUGGACCAUUUGCGGUUCCCCAAACACAUCAGGUUUACAUCAUGACUUCCUAUUGCCUGAGUGCUUUUGCGUGAACAUCUUCCCUUUCCCAUUCUUACUCAUUUUUCAAGGCCUAGCGAAAAUGACACGUUCUGUAUUGGAACUUUGCUGACGUUCUCAGGCAGAGAUAGCUAUUACCAUCUCUGUUUUCAUAAUCAUCUGCAGAAGUCAUUUUCAUAUCAGCUUUUCUCUGAGGUUGAAGCUGUUUGUUUGUAGGCCUGAUUCCCCGCUUCCUUUGUAUCAAGAAUCAAAGUGUACUCUGUUCCUUAUCUCCAAUCCUGUGUUGCCAGCACAGGACUUGGUACAGAGUAGAUACUCCAUAAAUUAAAUUUAAAUGAGUGAAGAAUGAGAAUGUACUGGAGUGAUAACAAAAUAAUUAUAGGAAAAAUGAGAGAGGAAACAGGUAAGCAACAACGUGAAUAGAAUGCAGUGACAGAAUUUUAAAGGAUUUUAUCAAAAUUUGAGGAUGAGAAUGAGAAGGAGAAUAGUUGUGAAUGAGACUAGAAAGGUUAGAUCAUGAAGGCACUUGAAUUUGUCAGGCUAGAAAAUGUGGACUUUACGAAGAUCUGAAUCCAGAGGGGAACAGAUAUAAAGCAAAGAAUCCACUAAUGCAUAAUUUCAAAUUGUGAAAAGCUCUGUAAAGAAAAUGUUCCAUAAGCUGUAGUAAUGAUUAGCAAGGGGCCCUGGUCUAGCAGUGGUCACCUGGAUAAGUAAUAUUUGAGGUAAUACUUGAAGGCUGAGGAGGAAUUACCAAGUUGAAGUGUAAAGAAUGGUAUAUGAUCAGGCUAAAGACGAAGGUCAGAAUCAGGUCUUGUGGAGCCUUUCACACUGUUACUGACAUUUUGUUCUUUAUCCUACAGUAAUGGAAGGACAUUGAAGAAGUUUAAGCAAGGGUCUCUGGAGAAUAGAUUAAAAGAGCACCAGAAUGGACCCAGAGAGAUGACUCUACUUCGGAGAUCAUGUUAAUGGAACAAGGGGGUAAACUACAGUAACUUGAUCUAUGAAUGGCAGAGGAGCUUGAGAUAACUGGACAGAUUCAAGAUCAUUUAUGGAGAUGAGGUUGACUGGAAUUGGCUAUGGACUAUAGAGCUUCCACUUGCUGCUCACUUUGGGCUAUUUUUUUUCCUGUCAUUUAUUUUUUUCCCGCUGGUUAAUGCUAUACGCAAAGAAGCUGGCAACAGGAUGUGAAAGGGACUGUUUCCUAUUCUCUCAACUGGUCUGGAAGCUUUGUAUGGAACCCAUCCUUGUCAUUACUCUGGAGGAGCCCUGAUAGUACCUUGUGCAAGGCUUGGGGUCUGUUCUCAGAAGAUUCUUAUUGACCAAGUAGGAUUAGACUUGAUUUGGACUAAAGGCAAAAACUUGAAGCUUUGUCAGUUAAAAGUGGCCAACUUAAUUGUAAGUAAAUGGGGAAAACCUGUAGCUUUGCUAGCUUGAAGUUGUGGUCCUGACUGGGUGAGCAAUAGACCAUCCAUAUGUUUAACUGGAGAAACUUGGAAAUGACACAGCAUAGAGAGGAUAGGAUAAGCUCUCCACACAUCCUAGCUAACUGGGAAACUAUGCACAUGCGAAGGGAAGACCCAAGGGAAGGCCAGAGGAAAAUGAAGCCAAUGAAGAACUGAAAACCUGUUGAACUUUGAAUGCAAUCCUCAACACACACACGGAUUGGUUGAAGUUUUAUACACGAGGUGUUUGAUCACAGCCUGCACCCAAAUCAUUGACUCACCACUAAAGUAUGCAGGUAAAAGGGUGAACCAUCAGAAGGCAGGCUGACAAAUAAAAAUAAAUGCCUAAAAACUGAGUUAAGAAUAAACUUCUUCAUACUACAGGGGGACAGAAUCCACAGUUUAAGUACAAGUUACUUUGAAAAAAAAGGCUUUAGAAAAAUACCUCACAAUCCAGAGUUGCCACAAUAUAUUAUCCAAAAUGUCAGUUUAAAACAAAAUAAUUAUGAGUCAAGAAAAGCAUAGAGUGAUGCAUGCAUACACCAGAGGAAAAAAGUUAUCCUUAGAAAUAGACUCUGAAUGGGUCGAGAUAUUGAACUUAUAUAACUUCAAAGUAGCUAUUAUAAGUAUAUUCAAAGCAGUAAAAGAAAACAUUACAAAAAUAUUUCAACAAAUAGGGAAUCUGAAUAGAGAAACAAGCUAUUUUUAAAAGGUAAACAUUUUAGAGUUAGGUAAAAUAACCAGUUUAAGAUUCACUAAAUAGGCCUAACGAACAGAUUUGAGAUGGCACAAGAAAGAAUCAGUAGACUUGAAGAUAGAUCAGUAGAAAUUAUUCAGUCCAAAGAUCAGAGAGAAAAAUGUUAAGAAAGAAUGAAGAGCUCUGAGAUCUGUGGGACAUCAAAAAUAACAAUAUAGGCUAGGAGUGGUGGCUCACACCUGUAAUCCUGGCAUUUGAGGAGGCCAAGGCAGGAGGAUCACUUGAGGUUAGGAGUUCGAGACCAGCCUGACCAACAUGGUGAAACCCCAUCUUUACUAAAAAUACAAAAAUUAGUCAGGUGUGGUAGUGUGUACCUGUAUUCCUAGCUUCUUGGGAGGCUGAAGCAGGAGAAUUGCUUGAACCUGGGAGGUGGACGUUACAGUGAGCCGAGAUCUCACCACUGUACUCCAGCCUGGGUGACAGAGUCUCUGUCUCAAAAACAAACAAACAAACCCCCAAUAUACAGGUAGUGGAAGUCCCAGAAAGGGAGUAAUGAGAGAAGGGGUCAGAAAAAAAUAUUUGCAGAAUUGAUGGCCAAAAACUUCCUAAAUUUGAGAAAAAACAUUAAUCUAUACAUAUGAGGUUUAUGUUGGCAUAUGAGGUUUUAAGUAUAAUCACUAUGAAACAGGAAAAAGUGGGGUGGGGGGGAAGCAGACAUAUUCACAGUGAUAGAGGAAUAAGAUUAAUUCAGGAAGAAAAGGAAGGAGAGGAAGACAGGGGGCCAGUGGCCUAAGGAUCCCCCCUUAGAUUUUGUACAUGUACUAGUUUGCUAAUUUGUGAUAAAUGUGAAUGAGUUAAUCUUAUUUACCAUGCUUCAUGUCAAUAAUAACAUGGUCAAGACUCUUAUUUCCCCAAAGAAAUAAUUAGUGUAUUUGCACAGAAAAAGUUCAGUUUCACCUACAUCCAUUUAAAAUCGAAGACCUCUGGAACUGAAAGUGACACUCUUUGGAAAUUUCAGGGUAUAAAAACUUCCAAGGUUUGGGUCUUCACAGCGUAACUUCUUUCAUAGUACAUUGUCCAUAGUGGUGAUUCCUGAACUUUUGUGUUUUUUUAAACACAAAAGGUAAUAGGGUCCCAUGUAUCUGUAUCUGUAGGGCGGGGUUCAAGAUUUCGAAUUUUAAUCAGCUCCCAACGUGAUUUAGUAAAGGUAUUUGUUGGAUCCCCCUCUGGAAGUACAUAGUUUCAGAGCUUUCAUCUUUGGCCUUUUUUUUCUGUGUAUAAUAUAAUCUUUUUACAUAUGGGGGAAACUCUUUUUUUAUAAUCAUGACUCUGUUCUGAAAUUCCAUGACCUAAAAUUGUCACAAGGAAAGAUGCAAAAACUAAUUUAAAUGUUAGCAGAUCAAUAAAAUCUUCAAUGUAUUUAAAUAUUGGAAAUGUAAUCAAACAGAAACGAAUCUUGGGCAACAAAAUACAAAGCAGUUACUUGAGGAGCUGCCAAAACUAUUUUCAGAGGUAAGAAUUUGGAUGACGCUAUUCAAUGCCAAAUUCAGUUUCCUCUGCUUAUGAGGAAAUCUAUAUCUCACCAAUCUCCACGAUGUUGUAGAAAGGUCAGGGGCUUUGGAAUCUGACCUAAAUUUGAAUGCCAGACCAAUUUUUCACAAGUGUGUUCCUUUGCAUAAGUGUGCUACUUAGCCUUUUUGAGUUUUGCUUCUCUCACAUACAAUAGAUGGGUAAGAAUACAACUACACAUGGGUGUAGAGGAGAGUAAAUAAGGAAAUGCAAAUAAAGCACCGGGUACAAGAACGUACUUAAUAAACAUUGAUUCUCUUUAAUAUGUACUUGUAAGUACCCACAUAUGAAAUUAAACUUGUAGCUGAUAAUGGAAAAGACACAUUCUAUAGACCAGAGAAGUAAUUAGUAGGUGGUAAAAUAGUACUGGUAAUGCAAUUCAGGAUACUGACGUCUUUUAUCUGUUUCUCAGGGGACUAGAUCUCCUUCCUCAAUUGUCAAGGAGAAAGACAACACGCAGGUCCUCCAGGUGUGUUUGGGGUAAGGAUGAUGGGGCAUUGUUCCUGUCUGUCCGAGGGGUUCUCAGUCUGAGGGCUGGCCCAGGGACCUCUCCUUUAGUCCUACCCUGGCCUAUUCACAGACCUGCAUCCUUCCUAUCCCUCAAAUCUCUUCCUUCUAGAGACCCUUGCCUUCCCCGCCAGCAGAUUUUGUUAACAAAGACUUUGUUAAUGUCCAGACACUGUGGCUCAUACCUGUAAUCCUUGGAUUUUGGGAGGCUGAGGCAGCCAGAGCACUUGGGGUUAGGAGUUUGAAGCCAGCCUGGCCAACAUGGUGAAACCCCAUCCCUACUAAAAAUACAAAAAAAUUAGACAGGCAUGGUGGCAGGUGCUUGUAAUCCCAGCUACUCAGGAGGCUAAGAACUGCUUGAAUAUGGGAGGCAGAAGUUGCAGUAAGCCAAGAUUGCACCACUGCAUCCCAGCCUGGGCAACAGAGUGAGACUCCAUCUCAAAAAAAUAAAUAAAAAAGAAAGACUUUGUUAAUCACAUGUUCAAGCAUAUAGGAGAAUUGACAAAAGGAAAUGAAUCAUGAGGCUGACAUUUUAAAUACGAGCAUAGUAGACAUUCUAAUAAAUUUUCUCUCAGUAAUAACAUAUUUGGCCUACGUGAGUUCUGAGAAAGAUUCAAACAACCUAAGAAAAUGCAAUAAACUGCAAAUGUAAUUAUACAGGUGUCCACUCUGAGAAUAGUGUUUAGAUUGCAUUUCAACUUUUCAGGGAAUAAGAGUUGGAUAACAAUGUUUAAAGUAGAAAGUUCUAUACCUUUUAAUAAAUUCAGAUUUCAAGGUGAAACUGAGCAUAUUCUUUGCUAAACAAAGCCAACUAGUUUGGCUGUGGCUCUCAAGCAGCUCCGGGGGCACAGGAAGAGGAGGAAAGGUGAUUCAUAAGAGGAGAUAGACUAACAGCAGGUGCUGUUAAUUCAUUUUGAGUCUCACAAAUGUGUUGUUUUGUUUGUUUUGAAGUUGAUAUAAAAUGUAAAUUAUGACUUAUUUUUGCAUAUUGCAAAUCUAAAAUUUGGAUGUUUUUAUUUUAAAGAAAACAGCAAGUCUAUAUAGCCCUUUUAAAUAACAACAAGCUAGGCAAUACUGGCUAAUUUAUACAUCUAAAGGCUCAAUUCUGAAGUGUAACACAAUUGUUUUCAGUGGUAAAGAUUUCAAAAGAAAAGAGGCUUAUAGACCAUUUUUUCUCCUUUUCAUUUAUUAUUGGAUUCUGAGAAGUGGAGACAAAUUUAGGCAAAAAAUUUAGAAAAAGUUUGUUUCUGGAGUAAAGAAUAUUACUAAUCAAGACAUAUUAGACAGAUAAUGAUUUUAGAAAAAUUUAGUUUUAAAAAUUUUACCUAGAUUGUGUGAUUUCUUUGUUACAUAAUUAUUGUAAGAUUCUAUGAGUGUAUGAAUUGGGGUGUCAGUGAUAUAUGUUCAUAAAUCUAUCUGUGUAUUGGGUCAGCACAACUAUCUGUGAUAGGAAGAUACAGUUCCUUGCAAUGAGUAUCUUUCAAGUGUGCUUUUUGGUUGAAAUAAUAUUGUUGAAGAAUUAUCUUUUUUAUAUAAACCAGCUAAAAUUAUAAGAAGACUAUGUAUAUAGAUACGGUAUUUGAAAUGCCCUAAAUAGUAAAGAUAUAUGGAUAACAAUAUAUUUUUUUCAUUUAACAGAAAGAUCUUAGAACAAAAUUAAAGCUUCACAUAUCUGGUAGCCUAUAGUUACCUGUAUUUUUCUUAAAACAACUCUAAUGACUUAGUAUUCAAAAGAACUUUUCACACAAUGAUUCUAUUAGGAAAGAUCUGGGAGAAAAAAAAUUACCAGAGAAAAACAGUGAUGGAGGAAAUGUAACUGUGUGUAUCUUAUGGGAGCAUGUUGAAUAAAAGCUGUUUCACCUUGCUUUUUGGUAGAGGUAUAAAUUCUAGAUACUUAUUUUACAUAUAUAAGGAUAGUAUCAAAUAUAACAUAUGAAUUUUAAAUUUAUGUAAAAGAAACGUUCAUUUCACAUCAAGGAAUUAUGUGUUGACUCUCCAUCCUACCCCUAGAACAGAGAAUAUUGUAUUUCCUUCCUAAAAUAAAGAGCAGAUGUAGGGAGUAGGAAUAGCUUUCAUAGCUUGUUGCCUACAAAAUAUGAAGCUGCCAACUUUGCCAUUUCUUAGCGUUCAGCUCAAGUUAAGUAUAUCGUAGAUAAAUUUGAAGAUGCUGAAUCAUAAAUAAUAGACACAGUUACAAAGCUGCUGGAAAUUUUAUAAAAUUGCCAGUUUGAGCUUCAGUGAGCCACCAGGUCAGAAGCAAGUUCCCACUGCUCCGUUCUCUGAGGCAAGCAAUUGUAUGCAGCCUCACAUGAACUCCAAAGGCUGUGUAAAACGUGUCUUUUCUCUAUAUUCAUAACUAAGACCUUACCAGCAUGCUCUGGGUAAAAUGGUUUUUUUUUCCCUCUGUCCUCAUAAUUAAGAUAGAACCCCACUGGCAUCUUUCCAGGUUUAGAAAAAUGAACUUGUCCAUUUUUGUGAUAAAAUUAAUGUCACAGAUAUAUAACUCUAAAAUUAAGGAUAGGAAUACACACCUUGUUCCCUUGUACCAAUGUCUCUUCAUAUUCCAUUUCUACUUCAUAUACCUUCUCUAGAGUGGGCAGAUCACUGCAACAAUUGCAAAGUAGGCUUUAAGAAACCAAGCCAUUCUAUGAAAUAUACAAAAGGGUCACGGAAACAGAGCUCCUACCUGUCUAACAUUUCCAAAGAAAGGAGGAAUCAGGACCCCUUUUAAAUACUCUUCUUCUUUUUUACUUUCUUUUUUAUUUCCCUCCUCCCCUUCUCUCCCUCCUUCCAUCCUCUGCUAAUUUUCUCCACAACAUUUAUUUAUAAUUAAAAAAAGAAAAAUAAUGUCAUCACAAGUAUCAGAAAUUUCCUAUAAAUUAAGAAUUUUCUAGUUGUUAUUUAGAGUUCUCCAUUCAGGAUAUUUAAAUUAGGAAGGUAAAGGGAAACAGCAGAAGCAUUUUGUAUACUCAGAGACUGAGGAGUUAUAAGCAUUUUAAAUAAAUAUAUUUUGAUCAUAUUUAUUAAGGAUCAGAAGACUUUUGAGAGCUAGUUUUUAAAAACCCUCUAAGUUCUAAAAUAACCACCAAAGACAUUUUAAUUUGAAAGAACAAACAGGAUUAUGAGAAUAGGUAACUUUUUCCUUGAGGAGCUAUAAAUGCAAGUCAUUAGUAAAGUUCAUUCCCUCCAUCAGAAUUCAUUUCUUAUAAGGUCUGCUGGAUAAUUAUUCUUUCUAAACACGACAACAAAAACUGAACAGAUGUUUGGGUAGAUAACACGUUUGAUGGAUAAGAUAUAAUGAAUCUGUUCUUUUCAUUGUUUUUAAUAAAAAAGAAAUAUCUGAUGAUAAGGUUUCUUCAAGGUUCUUAAUAGAAAUAUGUUCCCUAGAUUAAAGAAGAAAAAAAAAAAGGUGGGAUAGAACUUGAUGUGAUACUAGGAUAAUGAAAAAUGUAUCACUUAACAAGGUUUGCAUUAUUCAGAGUUAUGCCCAUGCAAGUGUGUGCUCUAAUCCCCAGCCGAUACGUUGCUUGGUAACCAGUUACCUGCACACCUGUUCUGUAGCUAUAAGAGACAGUGCAUGUAUUGGUAUUGGCCAUAUUUAGUACUGAAGAAAGAGAUAAAAAUCCAACACAUAUUAAUAUUUUAUACAGCGAUGUGUCUUUUACCUUAUUAUUGUAGUCACUGUUUAGCCAAAGAUUUUUUUAUUUUCUAAAAAGAGUUACUGUUUCCCAUCACACGGUCACCUCCUGAGUAGCAAGCGAAAAGACUUAAAUUCCUCUCAGAGCAUCUGUAAUCAACUCUGUUUGCUGCAGACAACAGAUGCUACCAUUAGGAUGGAUUUUGCACUUAGGUGAGAGGGAAGGCUGAAUGGAGAAUUUCCGUUUAUAAAAGAUUCCCACUGCCAAGGCAGAAUCUUUCUAGAAUGGGUCUGACCAUUAAGUGUCUAUCUACUUGAAGGCUUGAUUAACGCAGCCCUAGAAAUAUCAGUCAUUUUGAUUAGGCUGUGGUGUAGCUGGAUUGUUCCUGAUUAUCUCCCUCUCAAGUUACGGUAAAGAACAGUUUUUCCAUUGAUUGUAUGGCAGUGACAUGGUGGGGCAGCCAGAAGAGGCAAGCUUUGGGACCAACAUGUGAAGCCUUGUAUUGUUUUUCUCCCAUUAGAAGGCUGAUUGCACACUAUGCACUGGAGCCUCAGGGCUGCUAGAAAAGGGUGUCCCAAGGGCCUUGAAGUUGUUUUUCUCUAACUGCUGGUAGUGUCACAGCAUUUUUUUAAAAAAGAGUUAGAAAGUAUCUUUAGAGGUCAUUUAGUUCAUUGGUUCUUAGCUCUCUCUACACAUUAAAAUUUUGGGGAGCUUUUAAAACAUACUUGUGCCUGGACCCAGAAUAUUUUGCUGCUAGGUACAGGGUGGGAUUAGGCUAAAAAAGUCAAGAGGUCGAACAAGGCCAGGUAUGUUAUUCUAACUGAUGGCCCUUCACGUAAAGGGGAACAUCAACAGUGGGGAAGAGUCACUCCUUUUACAUUAGUUACCAUAUUUUUAUUUUAUUGAUCUUAAUGAGCUAUUUGGUUCAUUAAGCUAGAACGGGGCUCUCCCAGUGCUCAGAGGCAAAGCAGCAGCCUGUUGGAUCAGCCCGCUCCCACCUCCUGCUUCCCUUGCUUCUUGGGAGAUCAUCCUGGAGCCACAGGUGGGCAAUGAGGAUUUUGCUCUGAGGAGGCUCUAACAUGGAUCAGACAAAUUCCAUAGAAUUAACUCCUAGGCCACUUGGUUUUCAAGGCCAUCUAUUCACCCUUGCUCUAUUUUCUAUCACAGAUGAUGAUGGCACAUACCCCAUGUCCUGCAGUGGGAUUAAAGGACAGCAUUACCAUACUUCAAAACCAAAAUACCGACAUUAUAAAGAUGCAUUCAAAGUGAAUAUCAAUUCCCUGUGAGAUGUCUAGGGAGAAAUGAAAAUCUAAAGCCUUAAUAAAUCCAGAUGAAUUCAAGACCAAAAUCAUAUUUUCUUGCUACUGUGAUUUGAAAGUCCAAGGAAAUUAAAAUCAAUAUUUCAUCCUCCUUAGUUUGUUAUUUUGAUUAGUUUUAGUGAGAGAUGCUCUGGAUUCUGAAUAGAUUGGGAAUUUUCCAGAGACUGUAGCCCGGGUAGAAUCUAAGUAGAAUUGGGGAGUUCUUCUGUACCUCAGCAGUUGCCUUGAUAGAAUUCCAAGUCUUCAUGAAUACCUUUUGUAAAGACUCUUGAGUGGAUAGGGCAUUCAAGAUCAUUGCUUAGAAAAUAAACCAUCCCUCAGCCUUUGAACUGUUGCUCCCUAUCCCUGGUAAAACUGUGUUCUCAGAACACAGUAUUUUACUUAAGAGUUGUCACAAGCUAGAAAUACAAUGGUCACUGCGUGGAGUCCCAAAAGAGGAAGAGUUCAGCUGUAUCAGGAAGCCAGUCAAUUGAUAUCAGUUGUCCAAAACACACAACCUGUGACCUUAAAUGCAAUUUCUCUGAGAGCAAUAUUCCAGCAAGAGGUCAUCUAAUUUGGGCACUGGGACCUUAGCAUACCUGAGAGAAAACAUUCCCUAUAUACCUGUCUUCUCCCUUUGACAUGCUGUUUGAGACAUUGGUGACCCCUGAGAAAGAAUAACAAUGUCCAAUGGAGGCAGCUCCUAUCAUUGGAUCUUAAUAGAGCGUAUUUUUUCUCUUCGUUAUCCCAUGCAUUUGAAAGUUUUAAAAUUAUUUUCCCCUUUAGUAUUGCUUGCCUACAAGACACUGAAACAUAUUACAUAAUAAUACACAAACAUACUACAGUCUGUGACCUUAAAUGCAAUUAAGGGUUCUGUGCAGGCCAUUCUCUUGAUUGUGGAAUAAGCCACAAGAAGCAAAGAUCAGCCAAGGGAAAGACUGCAUAUGGCCUCUUGUCCUGCUAGGCAGCUAAAAACCAACUGCCUAACUGUCAAAACCUGCCACCUGGAAGAUCUAAGCUUCUCCACUCACCAAACAGCCUCAAAUCACAGUUACCACCAAAGGCUUAGGACUUAUGCAUCCUUAAUUGUCAACAUUUUGUCUCAUUUCUCAAUAUUCCUGGUUCAUGCAUCAGUUGUAGUGGUUGAGGGGGAAGGCACUGAGUUUAUUUUCUAUAACUGUAAGGCUCCUUACUCUGUUGAAAUGCAGAGUAGAAAACGUGCUUUCUAAGGGCAACUUGCCACCAAGAGAGGAGGAACAGGAAUGUCUUUUUCGUUCCUGCCAAAUUCACCAUCAUAUAAAAUGCUAUAGUUGGAAGGGCAUGGAAGUAAGAGGGCAGAGAUAAGCCAGAAAGUUUGUAUUAAUUGAUGUCCUUUGAUAUUUAGGGAAACAUCUGGAGUGGGAAAGAGAUGUUCCCUUCUCAAUACUUGAUGCUUCUCACUUACCUGUCUUACAUCCAAUAUCCAAGUCUUCCUUUUUUCUACUUCCUAAAACUGGGUACAUCUACCCCUUUUGCUCCGUCUGCACUGCUACUGCCCAAGUCAGGCCUUUGCUUUCUCUUUUACUAAGAACUGCAUUUUCUUCAUUACAGAGGGGAUUCUGGCCUCUGUGCUCUGCUGUCCUCCUGCUGCCCCUGCCCCAAAACACAAACAAGAAAAACUAAAAUAUCUAUCUUUUAGAGCACCACAGUGAUCAUUUUAUUGUACAUUUCAAAUGAGGAUACUCAGUAUCCAUGCCAGUAUUCAUCAGUAGCUUCCCAUUGCCUAAAAGAUACUUUUCAACUCCUAUGCUUGGUCUGCAAUAUCUUUCCCAAUUUGAAAGGUGGUUAAACUUGUGGACUCCAGAGACGAAGAAGUUGCUUCAGAGCCAUUGAGUAGCUAUGAAACUUUCAACUAGUAACUUGACCUUCUUGUGUCUCACAUUCCUUGUCUAUGAAAUUGGGGUGAUAAUAAUGGUACUUAUUUUAAAGGGUUUUUGGGGGAUCAAAUAAUCUAUGUAAAAUACCAGUCAUUGUACCUGGUACCUUAUAAGUGCUCAAUGAUGAAUCAUGAUUUUUAUUUGUUUUCUGCUCACUUGUCUAGCCCCAUGUUCCAUGGACUCCCCCAUACUGUAGGGUCUAGUAUCAGCUACUUGCUCUUUGACCUUGGCCCAUUUUCUCAGGUCUUUGUGUCUUUUGUCUAUGCUAGUCUUUCUGUUGGAAUGCCCUUGCCCAUCUUGACUGCCUGGCAAACUCUUAUUCAUCCUUCAAUUCUCAGAUGAAGUGUUUGGUCCUUGGUGGGCAGACUUAAUUGUUGCUUCUCUUGGGCUCUCGUUAAUGAAGCUAAUACCCCUGUUCUCCUAAGACUGUGCACUUCUGAGGCCAGGGACUGGGUCUUUCUGUCUAUUCUGCUAUCCCUCUCACACAGCAACAGCCACAUAGAGACUGCUCAGAAAUAUUUAUUGAAAGACUGGCCAUCCAAAUGCAAAUGAGAAGGUUCUUUUCCAGGGAAAAUUUCAGGUUUUUAAAGCUUUGCAAAUCUGGUAUUUUAUGGAGAACUGGCCCUUCAUCUUAUCAUCUGAUGCAAUUUAAUGGAAACUUUAAAUGAAAAAAAGAAUCUUAGGAUACAGAAAGAUAAUUGCUAUUUUUUUUUUUUUUACUUCAAACUGCUUUUUAAAGUCUAAAUUCAGAACUAAUAGAGAAUUUUUUACCUGCACUAAUGUAUGGUAGGAGUACAAGGAAGCGGAGGAUAAUUUACAUCUAACCUUUUGGCUACCUUCUUUGUUGAAAUAACUUUUUUAAAACUAGUGAUACAGUUGAUGCAAUCUCUUAAAUGAAGUGCAGUGCUGUCCUAAGUGAGUUGGUUAUUCUCAAGGCAAACAAUUCUUGUAUACUGAUCAUCGGAGCUUUUUUUUUUUUAACUUUUUAAAAGGUCAAUUGGUUUAUUUUCAUGUAUUUAGCAACAGUUUACAAAGCAAUCUUUUAGAGCUGUCAUUGUAUUAAUUUUCCUGGUUUUAGUAAUUGUGAAUUUUAUAUUUCCUUGGGAAGCAAUUAAUACAUUUAGGAAACUCUCCUGGGUUUCAUAAACACUUCCAAUUAAAAUGUAUUGAUUUGGCAGUGGUUUCUCCUUGGUAUUUAUUUACAAAGACUUGGAAGCAAGUCAUAUGGCUUUGUGUAACCUGAAUGUUAGCAAAAAUGGGACAACCGAGGAUGGUUCCUCUUAUUUCCUUCGAAGUUAAUUAGUUCUAUAGGUAUUAUUAGUCUGUAAGCACCUGGAGGGCAAGGGUAAUGUCUUAUUCAUUAUAAUAUCUCACCCAGGGUCUAGCUGAGUCCCUGCAUGUAUAAAAGACACAGACUGGUGUCCCAGCAGGAAAUCUGCAUAAUUGGAGAAGCUUUGCUAUGGCCAUUGUGGAGCCUAGGAGGUGAAUCAGCAAAGGGCUUGGGACAGGAGCCUAGAAAGUAUAGGAAACAGGGCAAAAGCAACCUCUCAGAGGCACCUGGAAGUGAGUCAAAAAUGGAAACAUAGUAGCAGAGACUUUCCUAGGAAGCCCAGGAAAGGGGAGGAGGAUCCAAUCUGGAGAGUUCUGGAUGUGGGGCAAGUCCCUGAAUACAUUUGAGGUCGAGGUCACCUAGAGAAUAGGGCUGAAUAGAUGUUUGCCAAAGCUUGGGAAAGAUUCCAAAGUCUGGAGAUAGGAGUUCUGGUGCAGAGCAUUUGUGAUGCUUUCUCACUUUUGUAUGUGUGUGAGGGUGCACAAUGUGUUGUUAUGUGGAAUUGUGUACGUGUAGCUCUUUAUCAAGAAUUAGGCCACUAUUGGAGCAAGGGAUUGGAUUUUUCCCAGAAUUACACAUAAUUCUUAUGUGUAAGGAUCAAUAGAUGUUUUGACAUUGUGAUGCUGACUGCCACUAUUAUUGUUAAAGAACACAAGAGACAAAAAGUGGAUAGGAAAAAAUCUUAGAUUUUCUUUUGGGUACCAGUAUAAAUCUCCUAUUAAGAGAUCUUCUAGCUCUACCUAUUUCAGAGCUAAAGCAGCUGAGGACAGUUAGGUUGUAUGACUUGUUCCAUUAGUGGCAGAAGUGAGAGUAGACAUUGGCUCCUUCCGUCUAAGAAUCGGUCACUCAACACAGAUUUAUUGAGAGCCUCCUAGGUGCCACGUCUUCAUGGAGGUUACAUUCCAUGUGAAGGAUGCAGACAUAAAGAUGAACGAGGAAAUUAUGCAGUGUAUUAUAAAUAUGUUACAUCAUAUCAUGUUAUAUACAAAGUGAAAAAAAUGCUAUGAAGAAAAGUAAAGCAAUUACAAUGCUUUUGUAAUUACAAUGGGGUGAUCGGGGAAGGUUUCAAUGAGAAGGUGGUAUUUACACAAAAAAAGAGGUGAGGGAGUUAGCCAUGAUGAUAUAUGGGGGAGAACAUUUCAGGCUGAGGGGAUAGGAAGUAUAUAAAGGCCCUGGGACUGUUGGGCGAUGACAGGGAGCUGGUGUGGCUGGAGUGCUGAGCAGAAUAGCAGAAGGUGAGAUCAGAUAAGUAUGAGGGAGGGGGCGCAGAUCAUAGACAAUGGUGUAGGCCAUGAAGGGCUUUCUGAUUGAGGUGGGCACCAUUGGGAAGUUUUGAGCUACUUUAUCUGUUUUAGAUUUUAAGAGGAUUAUCCUGGCUGUUGGGCUGAAAAUAAACUGAAAUGCGUAAAGGGAAAAGGGUAGAAAGCACUGUGGCAGACAGGGAGGUCACUGCGCUAAUCUAGGAACAGAAUGACAGAAGCUUGUGGCCUGGGGGAUAGCAGUGAAGGUGGAGAGAUGGUAAGAUAAUGCUAAUUACAACACUGCCCUUGCUCUAGUUCACUUCAAUAAUCAAACAAUUUUAAAUAUUUAUUGCAGGCUGAGUAUCCCUAAUCUGAAAAUUUAAAAUAAGAAAUGCUCAGUGAGCAUUUCCUUUGAGCAUCAUGUCAGGGUUCAAAAAGUUUUGAUUUUGGAGCAUUUUGGAUUAUCAGAUAAGGGAUGCUGAACCAGUAAGUCUAUAAUGCAAAUAUUCCAAAAUCCUAAAAAACAUGAAGUCUGAAACACCUCUGAUGCUAAGCAUUUUGGAUAAGGGAUACUCAACCUGUAUUUUCUAGGCAUCUUGCUAAGGACCCGGGAUACAGAGUUACAUAAGAGUCCAUUUCUACCCCCAAGGAGCUCAAUCUUAUGUAAGAGACAACUAUAAAAAAUAUUAAGAAUAUUACAGUGUGUUUUGGCAAGCACAACAAUAGAAUAUAUUCAAGGUGCAGAUGUAGAACCCAAAAAGAAGGCAGAAAGGUCUUCCGUGCAAAGCUAUAUUUUGAAAAAGAAAUAAGCUUUCCAGAGUAGAUGUAGAACCAAAAAAGACGGCAGAAAGGGCUUCCAUGCAAAGCUAUAUUUUGAAAAAGAAAUAAGCUUUCCAGAGUUUUUCUCUUCCGGUAACAGGAAAAGCAAGAUUUGUAGGGCAAUAUAAGCUAUUGAGUUGUUCAUUUCUGUUUCAUUCUUAGUGGUGCAGUAGGUUCAAAAUAUUGAAACAAGAAACUUCAAAUUCUUGCCUCGUGCCCCAAGAACAGUCUGACAGGGCUUGUGGUUUAAGGUUUGUCUUAGGGAAUGAGUUCUAGGUGGCAGGAACAGCUAAGUAUAAAGAUCCUAAAGUAUACACUUGCUUUGCGUGUGAAGAAACAACAGGAGGCUAGAGGAAUGGACUGCCAAGAAAGGGGAAGAGGAAGACAGCCAGUCAAAUGCCCUGGAGCCAUGGGAAGAGCCUGGGGGCCAUCAAGGGAGUCAUCUGGAGUUGAAGGAUGAGGGAGAAGGAGAGCAAUCUUGAUACUUUGGAUUGAAAAGGAAAGUGACCUGAGAGGGGUGUGGUAGCUUCUUAGCAUUUGAUAGGGAUUCAAACUUCCAAGAGUUUGAUGGGGACUUCCUUAAGUACAGGAUAGGAAGGCGUCAUACGGUGGGAAUGGUCCGUGGUUGCUUGUGUGGAGGUGGUGGACAAGUCCAGUGGUCUUGGAGCAAUGGCCAAGUUCCUCUGUGGACAACCCUGCAACCAGUGCAAAGCGAUAUCACUAACAAGAGGCUGUAGAGUGCAGUGUUAAGAGCAGGGACUCUGGAGUCAGGCUGAUGUGUCAAAUCCCAGACUUACUAGCACGCUUGGGCUUAAAUCUCUGUGCCGUGGCUUCCCCACAUUCAAAAUGGGGCUGGUGUGAAUUGUAGCAGGGAAGGAAAGAUAAUUUUCCCCUUAUCCUUCUAAGUUCUCCACUGGGGUCUCUGUAACAAAAGACAGAUGAAAAAGAGGCAUCAUACGGUGGGAAUGGUACAAGAGGAAAACAAACACCUUUAUUAACAUGUUGAAUUAUGCAUGUAACAUAUGAGAAUACCCAAAAUGGAUACUUCAAAGAGGUGAUUUAGAACUGUGGCUAACACAGCAUCUUCUGCACAAAACAAUACCUUUUUAGAGAAGUGACAAGACAAAGUAAAGGGAAGCUCGAGUCUCUAAGGUAGCCCAUAGAGGGAGGGCAAAUAAUAUGGGAAACUGGUGGCAAGUCAAGGCUAAUAGUGAAGUUCAUUACAUAGAUUCUUCUGGUGCCAGCUCCAGGAUAAGGGUCUUAAGUUAUGUCUGGUGAUUAACUUUUUGUCCUCUUUGGACACAAUUCAUGUCCUGCUUUUAGGCAACAGAAAGGAGACAGAAAGAUUGUCUUACAUCUGCUUUUUCUCUAUUGUCUUUGACUCAAAAUAAUCCUCAUGCCAAAGUGGCAUAUUUUGGGGGCAGAAUAUUCUGCUACCCUAUCUCCUAGAAUUGCUAUGCGGAAUAUGUAAGCUAAUACAUGCAAAUUGCUUAGAACAGGAGCUAGCAUGUAGUAGGCACUGCCAUAGACGUAUAUGCCAUUGUUACUAUUACCUUCUGGAAAAAGCAUUUGCACAUGCCCUGCAGAGAGCCUUGACAUAGGCAUUAUGUCAGAAGAACAGACACAAUAAAGCUCACCACGUGGACUGGGGAGAAGGUCUCUUUCCCGUGUGAGCCUUUACAGAAUUGGGAUUCUUAUGGCACUGAGAGGUGACUGGGAUUGAAUUUCUCACCAACACGGCUGAAAAAAAAAAGGCCGAGACAGUUUUAAUUUGAUCUAGAAAAAUAAAUGUGAUGUUUCUCAAGUGCCUCACGAAGAAAAUUCUUACUGGUUACAUGAGCUUAGGGAACUCUAAGCUGCUAUAAAUUGCUGAAAGAUAGUUCUGAGGUGAGGAUAGGUGGCAAGUAAUGGUGAAAGGUGAGCAAGGAUCGAAUCUAGAUGGACUUUAAGUGCCCUUCUAGUGACCUUGGCCUUUAUUCUGCAGAUGCUGGGGAGCCAGAGAAGGAAUUUUAAGCAGGAGCAACAUAAUUCGAUUUAGAUCUUUAAUAACAUUGUUGGCAGCAGGAGCAUAGACAUAAAAUUGUCAAGACUAGAGAGAAAAAGUGAUCAGUUAAAGACUGUUGUGGCAGUUCUAAUGGGAAAGAAUAGGGACCCAGAUGAAGAUGUUGAUGGCAGGAAUAAAGAAGGCUCAGUGUGGAGUGGAGACAUAUUUAGAAAAUGUGGGACCGGCCAUGGUGGCUUGCACCUGUAAUCCUAGCACUUAGAGAGACCAAGGCAGGCAGACCACCUGAGGUCAGGAGUUCAAGACCAGCCUGGUCAAGAUGGUAAAAUCCCAUCUCUACUAAAAAUACAAAACAGGCAUGGUCAUGAGCACCUGUAAUCCCAGCUACUCAGGAGGCUGAGGCAGGAGAAUCACUUGAACCUGGGAGGCAGAGGUUGCAGUGAGCCAAGAUUGUGCCACUGCACUCCAGCAUGAGCAAUAGAAUGAGACUCAGCCUCGAAAAAAAAAAAAAGAAAACGUGGAUCUGAUAUUGCAGACAGAGACAUCUGUCUUAGGAUAUGAGGACUCCAGGAGGAAGAACAGGCCUGAGAAUGACAGUGAAUUCAGUUUGGCUCCUGAUCAGCUUGGGGUACCUGUGUCUAAUAGGAGGUGUCAAAUUCUGUCUAAGGAAGAUGUUUGGGAGUCCUAAGGAUUGAGAAGAUGGAGUUGUAUAAGGCAGGAUGGUAAAGUGAGAAGAGAAAGGGCUGAGGCUCGAAGCAUGGAAGCCUCAAAGGCAUUGGUGAGGAUCACCGAGAAGAAAGGUCAGACUGACAGAAAGAUAACAGGGAGAGGAAUGAGGGAAGAUGUUGCUGGGAUGCCUCAUGGUUAGAUUCGGCGGUUUUAAGAACUGAGGACUUUGUUGGUAUACUGCAGUAGGCUGGCAGGAGAAGACAGUAGCUUUCAGUAAGUCAAGGCUUCAUGGAAAAACGGGCAUGGAACUUUAAUUUUAUUUUGAAGAAAUGGUUGAUGCUCCAUGGGAGGUAUAUUUGGGAUCAUUGUAAAUAUGGUUUUUCCUUGCACGAGUGAAUCUUAGAUAGUUAGGAAUAUUCAGAAACAAUACAGCAUUCAGUGAGAAAACACUCAGAUGCCUCAUUGGGCUCAGUGGUGUCUUUUAUUAACUGUAACACCUGCCAUUUCGCAGCCUGUGCUGCUGUCUCCAGAUACAAAAUGAAGGGGGCCCUACAAGUAUUGGGCUAACUGAAGCCUCCAGAAAACAAAAUAACAAUGAAACUGUGUACUGCAGACACAGUCAUUUGUAAAUGUCACAAAUAAGUGAUUUUCUUUUUGAUGACAUGACAUGUAUCUGAUCUGAACUGUUAUUUUAACAAAUAUUAAUGAAGUUGCCUUAAUGUGCCAGGCAUGGUGCCAGGCUCAAGAAUUAUGGUGGUGACUCAAAUGGACAAGGUCUUUGCCCUGAUGUCCUUAAUGGUUUCAUGUAGAAUGCCAAUACUAAAACAAUAAUUACAUGCGUGGGGAAAUAAAUGAGGCUGGGCACGGAGGCUCAUGCCUAUAAUAUAGCAGUGAGCCAUGAUUGUACCAUUAGACUCCAGGCUGGAUGACAGAGUGAAACUCUGUCUCAAAAUAAAUACAUAAAUAAUAAAAUGCUUUUUUAAAAAGAAAUGAUUAAACAUAGGGAGUAUAGCAAUAUUCAGUGGUUGGGGUGUGGACUCUAUUUACCCUUUACUUUCAUGUGGAGUAGGUGAAAACACCAUUACUGAUGUUUCCUCCAUGUGGAGGGAUAUCUGCUAGACAUUCUACAUGGCCUCUACUGCUCUGUCAUCACUCCUCCCACAGAAGGGGAGGAGACUCCCCUGGUGAUGAGUUCUGGAGAAGACCUGGGCACACUGAGGUCUCAGCCACUUCCCCUUCCUGGUGUGGGACUUCUCUCAUGACUUAACUACUACCUUAAUCACCUCCUAAAGGUCUCGCCUUUUAAUUCUAUCACAUGGGGGUUUAAGUUCCAACACAUACCUUUAGGAGGGAUGCAAACAUUCAAAUCGUAGCAUGGCGAUGGUGGGGUCAUAUGCCCAAGAGACGUAUAGGAUUUGCUGUAAAGAUGACACAAGAAAGAGGAACUAUAUUAAUGGAGGAACCAGCUUGGAUGUAAAUAGAUGACUCUGAAUCUGGGUUAGAUGUUGGUCUGAUAUGAACAUACUGGUUGCUAUUAUUCCCCUAAGAAAAGCGAAGAUAGAAAAAAUAAGCAGUUUUUGUAGAACAAAGAAACCCACUGGCAGACUCAGAACUCAUGGAAUUGACAGCUGUCUCUCACUAUGGGGAGACCCCAUAAGACUUGUUAGAAGAGCAUGUUAGGAAAACAGAUGCCUUGGCCAGAAAACAAAGGGACAGUAUAAGGAAAGAGACAUUCAGUUUCAGUAAAUAAUACUAACUUUAUUAGAGACAAAAGGGGCCAACUGAAGAGAUUAAAGCUGUUACAAAUUCCACUUAGCCUUCUUGAAUGGGAUUAAAAGACAGUGCAGGGAAAUAAGGCUCUAGAGGCAUGCCUUCCUGCUACAGAAGAUGUUGCAUGUGUAACUGCUACAUGGUCUGGGACAUUCAAAGCUUAGAAAAGACUGUCCUGGAGAGCCUGUGGCAAAGGCAUUGGCCAUCACCAGGCUGCCAGGGACUCAAACCUCAGAAGGUUCAGUUCAAGAAUCUGCUGAGAGUGAUUUUGUGGCUGAAGCAAAAGUGCAUUAAGAAGGAAGCUCCCCAAGAGGCAUUCUUUAGUAUUCCAGUGCAGCCCCAGGACCCAGGACAGAGCUGUCAGCUCUGGGAAGAUAGGGAAGAAGUGGGGGCUGUGCCACCAGACAGACCCCAUUGAGCCACAUGGAACUAGAAAGGAAAUGUGUUUUAGGAUGUUUCAAAUAUAUUGGGUGGGAAAGAGGUACAUUUUGCAACUUUAGAAGUCAGGUGGGCUGGCAAGAUGGCUGAAUAGGAACAGCUCUGGUCUGCAGCUCCCAGCAAGAUCAACACAGAAGGCAGGUCAUUUCUGCAUUUCCAACUGAGGUACCUGGCUCAUCUCAUAGGAACUGGUUAGACAGUGGGUGCAGCCCAUGGAGGGCGAGCUGAAGCAGGGUGGGAUGUUGCCUCACCUGGGACUCACAAGGGGUCAGGAACUCUGUCCCCUAGCCAAGGAAAGCCAUGAGGGACUGCGCCAUGAGUAAAGGUGCACUCUGGCCCAGACACUAUGCUUUUCCAUGAUCUUCACAACCCUCAGACAAGGAGAUUCCCUUGGUGCCUAUACCACUGGGGCCCUGGGUUUCAAGCACAAAACUACGUGGGCAUUUGGGCAGAAACUGAGCUAGCUGAAGGAGUUUUUUUCAUACUCCAGUGGUGCCUGGAAUGCCAGCGAGACAGAACUGAUCACUCCCCUAGAAAGGGGGCUGAAGCUAGGGAGCCAAGUGGUCUAGCUCAGCAUAUCCCACCCCCAUGGAGCCCAGCAAGCUAAAAUCCACUGGUUUGAAAUUCUCGCUGCCAGCACAGCAGUCUGAAGUCGACCUGGGACUCUCAAGCUUGGUUGGGGAAGGGGCAUCUGUCACUACUGAAUCUUGAGUAGGUGGUUUUCCCCUCACAGUGUAAACAAAGCCACCAGGAAGUUUAAACUGGGCAGAGCCCACUGAAGCUCUGCAAAGCUUCUGUAACCAGACUGCCUUUCUAGAUUCCUCCUCUCUGGGCAGGGCAUCUCUGAAAAAAUGGCAGCAGUCCCAGUCAGGGACUUAUAGAUAAAUGCCCAUCUCCCUGGGACAGAGCACAUGGCAGGAAGGGGCAGCUAUGGGUACAGUUUCCACAGACUUAAAUGUCCCUGCCUGCUGGCUCUGAAGAGAGCAGUGGAUUUCCCAGCACAGUGUUCAUUCAGGCUCUGCUAAAGGAAAGACUGUCUCCUCAAGUGGAUCCCUGAUUCCAAUGCUCCUGACUGGGAGACACCUCACAUGGGAGAGCUCUGGCUAGCAUCUGGCGAGUGCAAAAAGAAAAAAAAAACAAAACACAAAGCUGGAGGUAUCAUGCUACCCAACUUCAAACUAUAGUCCAAGGAUACAGUAACCAAAAUAGCAUGGUACUGGUACCAAAACAGAUAUGUAGACCCAUGGAACAGAACAGAGGCCUCAGAAAUAAUGCCAUACAUCUAAAACCGUCUGAUCUUUGACAAGCCUGACAAAAACAAGCAAUGUGGAAAGGAGUCCCUAUUUAAUAAAUGGUGUUGGGAAAACUGGCUAGCCAUAUGCAGAAAACUGAAACUUGACCCCUUCCUUACACUUUAUGCAAAAAUUAAGAUGGAUUAAAGACUUAAACAUAAGACCUAAAACCAUAAAGGCAGAAUCGACAAAUGGGAUCUAACUAAAUUAAAGAGCUUCUGCACAGCACAAGAAAAUAUCAUCAGAUAUUUUCCCAUUCCAACCUACAGAAUGGGAGAAAAUUUUUGCAAUCUAUCCAUCUGACAGAGGGUUAAUAUCCAGAAUCUACAAAGAACUAAAACAAUUUUCCAAGGGAAAAAAACAACAUCAAAAAGUGGGCAAAGGAUAUGAACAGACGCUUCUCGAAAGAAGACAUUUAUGCAGUGAACAAACAUGAAAAAAUGCUCAUCAUCACAGGUCAUUAGAGAAAUGAAAAUCAAAAUCACAAUGAGAUACCAUCUCAUGCCAGUUAGAAUGGCGAUCAUUAAAAAGUCAGGAAACAACAGAUGCUGAAGAGAAUGUGAAGAAACAGGAACACUCUUACACUGUUGGUGGAAGUAUAAGUUAGUUCAACCAUUGUGGAAGACAGUGUGGCAAUUCCUCAAGGAUCUAGGACUAGAAAUACCACUGACCCAGCAAUCCCAUUACUGGUUAUAUACCCAAGUAUUAUAAAUCAUACUACUAUAAAGACAUAUGCACACGUAUGUUAACUGCAGCACUAUUCACAAUAGAAAAGACUUGGAACCAACCCAAAUGCCCAUCAAUGAUAGACUGGAUAAAGAAAAUGUGGCACAUAUACACCAUGGAAUACAAUGCAGCCAUAAAAAAGAAUGAGUUCAUGUCCUUCGUGGAUACAUGGAUGAAGCUGGAAACCAUCAUUCUCAGCAAACUAACACAAGAACAGAAAACCAAACACCGCAUGUUCUCACUCAGUUGGAGUUGAAUAAUGAGAACACAUGGACACAGGAAGGGGAACAUCAUACACUGAGGCCUGUCAAGGUUUGGGGGGCUAGGGGAGGCAUAGCAUUAGGAGGAACACCUAAUGUAGUUGAUGGAUUGAUGGGUGCAGCAAGACACCAUGGCAUGUGUAUACCUAUGUAACAAACCUGCAUGUUCUGCACAUGUGUCUCAGAACUUAAAGUAUAUAAAAAAGAAAGAUAGAAAAGAAUAAAAACAAAAACACUGAAGCAAAAAAAGAAAAAAAAGAAGUCAACACUGUUUGCUUUGAGAGAGGACACAAUUUGUCUAGUGGGAGUUUUCCACUAGAUAUGGUCAGCAGACUGUUGUGACUACCCAACCGAUGGGCAGUUUUUCCUAAACAAGUUGAAAGUCCUAGGCCACAUGUUCUGGACACCUGGCAUGUACUGGCUGAUGUCCUGCCAAGGCUACAACCCACGUAUUCUUCAUCUACUCUUCCCUCAGAAACUGCCACAUAUUUGGUGACACUAAGCAUUUGGUUCUGGCCCUAGAGCUUUGAUGAAGAUAGAUACUUUAGGAGUAGAGGAUUCCCUUCUCUGCUGAACUUGGCCUGUGUGGGGUCAGGGUUGGGAUUCUCCCGUAGAUCCUAUUAACUCUUUGGGCCCUUGAUGAAGUAAAGCAAAUAUAAAAUACAUUUGUCUUUUGAGGUCCUGAAAGGUCCUAGCCUGGGCUAUGAGAGUUAAAGGAGUAAUAUAUGUAGUGAAACUAGUAAUGAGAGUAAUUAUGUCAAUGGAAUGGCUCUUCUACCCAAGGGAAGUUGUUUUAAAUUUAAAACAAUUUUUGGCAUUUUUAAGUCUGCCAAAAUAGUGAGAGGUAGGAUGGGAGAGCCUAGGAAGGGAAGUCAGGCCAGAUUGGGUGGGGCCUCACUUCAUGUGCUUCAUCUUGAAGAAAGUGUGCAGCUAUCAGGCAGGAGCUUUGGGAAGGAGAGUUUGGUAAUCAGGUUUUGACUUAAAAAAUCUACCUUGUUGGAGUGUGGAGGUUGCAUGGGGGAGGACUGGGGGAUGCAGUUAGGGAGAUCAGUAGAGGAGCUGUGGACAUAGCACAGGUGAGAAAUGACAGCAGGCUUUCUCCAAUGUAGUGGGGUGGCAGAGAUAGGGGAAGAGGUGGAGAAUAGAUGGGCCUUGUGGAGUGGCUGCGAAGUUUAAAUGUUGUUAUCUAGAAUUAUUUACAUUCUUUUAGCUCGGACAACUGGGCAGAUGGUGAUGUCUUUCAUGAGACAGAGCACAAAACAAAACGAGGGCAGCAGUGGCAGUAGUCAUAAGAGGUAAGAAGGCUUUUUGUGCUUAGUAAAUUCCGGGCUGUGCAUCAAUUACCUCAUUUAACACUGGAAACAAUGCAAUGUGCUGGUUACUAUUAAUAUGUGCAUUUUACAGAGGAGGAAACUCAGCCUCAGAAAGGCAAAGGAACUUGCUGGCGGUCACACUUCUAAGAAUUAGGAAAACAGAAUUUGGCAUCAGAUGGAUGUGGACUCGAAUUCUGGAUCCCCUAGUUGUGGGAACUUAGGUAUGGCAAUUAACUGGUCCUAUCAUGGAGAUGACAUUUACCAUGUGAGAUUCAGGGAGAUGACAAUUCAGGAGGCUUCAGCAUGGUGCCUGGCAUGCGGUAAACACAGAGAAUGGCAACCAUCACUGGCAUCGUUGUUCAAUUAUUACUAGAAACCUAAUAAGCUAUGAGUUACAAAUAUUCUCAUUUCAUGAACUUGUAAAGUGAAACCCAAAAAGGAUAGCUGAUUUAUUUAUUUGUGUAGUAUCAGGAAGCUAAAUGAGGUUUUCUUAUUUCCAAACCUGUCUUCUUUUUACUACACCAGGCUCUCUUUUACUUCCUUGGGAGUAAAAUGAUCAAUAAUUAGCUUUCUGAUGUCUUGAAAAGUUCUUAGCCUCCAGUGAAGCUAGAAACUGUGGGCUCCUGAGGUGAUUUUCGCAUUUGUUGCUCUGGCAAAUUGCAGCUCGAGGGUUCUAAGCUCUGAAUCUGUUAUCAUUAGCAGAUGUGAUAGAUUAGCUUCCCAAGUGGUUCUAAUAUUGCCUCAGUGUCUUAGAGACAUUUCAACACAUGAGUAUGAAUGACUACAACAUGUCCAGGUAGUACUGUUUGUAACAGCAAAAAAUUGGGGGUUGGGGUGGGGGUGGGAAACUCCAAAUGCCCAACAGGAGACAGAAUAAAAAAUUGUGCAGUGCAUGCUUCUCGGAGGAAUUUAAGCUCUAGGAGGGGAGAGAUUGUGUCUGUUUUGUUCACUGCUGCAUUCCAGCACCUAGAACCAUGCCUGGUAAACAUUCAUAUAAGCACUCCACUAUUCUUUUAGCACUGAAUAUAGUAUAUUCACGUAAUCCCAUUAUGUGGUACACCUGACAGCAGUGAAAGCAAAUGAAUUACAGCUACAUGCACCAGCAGGGAUGAAUGUCAGAAACAUGAGUGCGAACAUGGAAGGCCAAAGAACACCUGUGGUAUGGUGCCACUUUUUAAAGUUCAAAAUCAAGUGAAAUGAAAUAACAGAAGAAUUAGGUACAUAGCCAGGGUGACAACUGUAUACAUAAGUACAAGAGAAGGAUAAAGGAUCAAGGUUAGGAUUAUAGUUGUGGUGGUCGAGGGGUGAGGGCUCGAAUAUGACUUUGGGGAGGGACACAUAGAAACUCACUUUGGAAAUGUUCUGUUUCUUAAGUUGGGUGGAAGGUUCAUGGGAAUUUGUUUUAUUAUGCUUCCUACCUUAAUAUUCCUUGAAUAUACAGAUGUUGUUAAAAAUAGAACUGAUGAGGCCAAAGCAGGUGUAUCACUUGAGGCCAGGAAUUAGAGACCAGCCUGGACGACAUGGCAAAUUCCUGUCUUUACUAAAAAUACAAAAAAUUAGCUGGGCAUCAUGGUACAUGCAUGUAAUUCCAACUACUUAGGAGGCUGAGGCAUGAGAAUCUCUUGAAUCCAGGAAUUGGAGGUUUCAAUGAGCCGAGAUCAUGCCACUGUACUUGAGCCUGGGCUCAAGACUCUGUCUCAGAAAAAAAAAAGAAAGAAAAUAGGACUGAUGGUAAGUUGCUCAAACAGAAGCAGGUAACUAACAAAAGGAUGGUGUAUCAGAGGUGAAAUAGGUGGGCUUUGCUUUCUUCUUAGUUUAGGAGGGGCUCCUUCUAGGAGGCUACAGGAAACCCCUGGAGUCAUCACUGAGGUAGCCUUCAUGGGCAGGUAAGGGCAUAUAGUCCCCUCCGACUUGUUGAAGGACAGCCAUAGGGCAAUACACCAGCCUCACCUUCUGGAAGGGAGGAUUCCUGGAGCCACCAGAAGGUGAGGGGCUCCCAGUCUAGUGUUGGGAGAAGCUGACCAUGGACCUGUGCUGAUGCUGACGAUGGAAGCUACACACACAGCCUGGAAUUUUGUUCUGGAGUCUAUCCUCAACUCACCCACUAAAUUCUGGAUGAAGUUGGCGGACAUCAUCUCUCUGGGCACCAGUCCCAUUAUCAGUAAAAUUAAAAGAUGAGACAGGAGCAUUCAUCAUCAGCCUGUGUCCGUGUCACCUUUACAGUUCCCUGGUGGCUCUGUUGGGUCACUUAGGGAGGGAGAGGGUGGAGUUGAAAUCCUGGUCCUGCCAUCCCCAGUUCAAUCAGGGAAGCCACUCAUAUGGAUUUUGUAUGUUUAGAUUCUGUGUAUGAUUUCAUUUCAGAGGAGGGUUUUGCUACUGAAAUAAAAAGCAAUGAAAACUCAAACAAGUAAAAGUUUGGAAAACCAAUCUAGACUAGUGUCUCCCAAACCCAUUUGUACAUCAAAUUACCCCAAAGAAUUUAAAAAAGAAAGAGAAAACAACUAAAGUUCCCUAGACCUUGCCCUUGACUUCUGGAAUCAGUGUUUCCAGAAAGAGGGUUUCCAGGGGCCUUUAUAACAAGCUCCCUACAUGGACCUCACAGGCACAGCCCAUCUCUGGUCUACAGACUGGUUUUUGGAAACUGCUAAUGUGAAGGAACUUUGGCAUUCUCUUCCAGUACUAACAUACCAUGAGUCUGUGUUUAUAUUCCUCCUGUGUAUAACACCUUCUGUUCCAUUUGUUUGUUUUUCUCCCAUUCCCAUAAAAACAACAGUGUCUAAGAACCAAAAUAUCAAAAUGAAGCUGCCAUCCUAUUUUUAUUAUUUCCCUGUGUAUAAAAUUUAGGGUUGUUUUUCUGGUUUUUGUUUCUCACCCCGCUCCCACCUUUGAACGUUGUGUGUAAAAAUAGGCUCUUUGUUUUUCUACCCUGCCUACCGCUGAAGCUCCCACAUGCUUUAGAAAUCAUGCCAUUCAAGUUGGAAUAGAUACUGAAGGAGCCCAGGGAGUAAUUUCUCCUUGCAUCAUUUGGGCGACAAAAUAUUUCCAAACUGUGCUCUGACAUUGACUUUGAAAUAUUUCUCCCAUCCUGUUUGCCCCCUCCCACUGCAAACAUAUAAGCAUGCUUGAUUGAAUAGCCCACUGGAGAGGGUUAAAGGCAAGGCUGGAAACACCUGCUCUUGAAAGAGUGUGUGUGGUUAGUCUCCCUUAACAAAGAAAUAUGAUUCUUAGAAAGGCCACAGAAGGGCAGAUGGAAGAAUAGAGGGAAUAUGUGGGCUAAAAACAUGAGGUCAAACUAAGAAGAUUAAGACUUUCAGCCCACAGAGAUGAAGGCUGCAUGGGGAGAUGAUCAAAGACAACCAAGCCACAAAGGGCAUCAAUAUGUUUGUGUUCACCAAAUUCCAAAGUAUGAGAAGGAGCAGGGAGGACUCUUUGAAGCCUGAAAGAAGAGAAAUUUAGAAAAAAAUAGGAAAAAAAGACAUUAGUUUACACAGUGAGUCAUAAACGUUUGGAGCAAAUCCCUCCCAAGACAUGGUCUGGGUUGAAAAGAAUAAAAGUACAAAGUAAGUGUAAUGUGUUCAUGAGUCAUAGAGGUGCAGUGGCUUUUAGAGGGUGAAUUACACUGUCCUGUGGUACCUCUGUGGAAUUUAGUGUUUGGAUCAGUACCAUGUCAAAGACAGAAUGCUAAACUAUGCUUACUCUGCAGGUGAUCUAAUAUGACAAAACUUAUGUCCUUAAGUAGGAUAUACUUUAUUCUGCCAAAUGCCUCAAAAAUUUUAAAUACACAAUUUCCUCAGUCUGUAAGGAUGUCUUUUUUUUUUUUAAUUUUUUACUGCAUUUUAGGUUUUGGGGUACAUGUGCAGAACAUGCAAGACAGUUGCAUAGGUACACACAUGGCAGUGUGUUUUGCUUCCUUUCUCCCCUUCAACCACAUUUGGCAUUUCUCCCCAGGCUAUCCCUCCCCAGCUCCCCCCCCAUUGGCCCUCCCCUUUUCCCCUCAAUAAACCCCAGUGUUUAGUACUCCCCUCCCUAUGUCCAUGUGUUCUCAUUUUUCAUCACCCGCCUAUGAGUGAGAAUAUGCGAUAUUUCAUUUUCUGUUCUUGUGUCAGUUUGCUGAGAAUGAUGUUCUCCAGAUUCAUCCAUGUCCCUAAAAAAGACAUGAACUCAUCAUUUCUGAUUGCUGCAUAAUAUUCCAUGGUGUAUAUGUGCCACAUUUUCCCAAUCCAGUCUAUCAUCAAAGGGCCUUUGGGUUGACUCCAGGUCUUUGCUAUUGUAAACAGUGCUGCAAUGAACAUUUGUGUGCAUGUGUCCUUAUAGUAGAACGAUUUAUAGUCCUUUGGAUAUAUACCCAAUAAUGGGAUUGCUGGGUCAAAUGGAAUUUCUAUUUCUAAGGCCUUGAGGAAUUGCCACACUGUCUUCCACAAUGGUUAACUAAUUUACACUCCCACCAACGGUGUAAAAGUGUUCCUUUUUCUCCACAUCCUCUCCAGCAUCUGUUGUCUCCAGAUUUUUUAAUGAUCGCCAUUCUAACUGGUGUUGAGAUGGUAUCUCACUGUGGUUUUGAUUUGCAUCUCUCUGAUGACCAGUGAUGAUGAGCAUUUUUUCAUAUGAUUGUUGGCCUCAUAUAUGUCUUCUUUUGUAAAGUGUCUGUUCAUAUCCUUUGCCCAUUUUUGAAUGGGCUUGUUUGUUUUGUUCUUGUAAAUCUGUUUGAGUUCUUUGUAAAUUCUGGAUAUCAGCCCUUUGUCAGAUGGGUAAACUGCAAAAAUUUUUUCCCAUUCUGUUGGUUGCCGAUUCACUCUAGUGACUGUUUCUUUUGCCGUGCAGAAGCUGUGGAGUUUGAUUAGGUCCCAUUUGUCUAUUUUGGCUUUUGUUGCCAAUGCUUUUGGUAUUUUGGUAAUGAAGUCCUUGCCUACUCCUAUGUCCUGAAUGAUUUUGCCUAGAUUUUCUUCUACUAAGGUUUUUAUGGUGCCAGGUCUUAUAUUUAAGUCUUUAAUCCAUCUGGAGUUAAUUGUAGUGUAAGGUGUCAGGAAGGGGUCCAGUUUCUGCUUUCUGCGCAUGGCUAGCCAGUUUUCCCAACACCAUUUAUUAAACAGGGAAUCGUUUCCCCAUUGCUUGUUUUUGUCAGGUUUAUCAAAGAUUGUAUGGUUGUAGAUAUGUUGUGUUGCCUCCGAUGCCUCUGUUUUGUUCCAUUGGUCUAUAUCUCUGUUUUGGUACCAGUACCAUGCUGUUUUGAUUACUGUAGCCUUGUAGUAUAGUUUGAAAUCCAGUAGUGUGAUGCCCCCCGCUGUGUUCUUUUUGCUUAGAAUUGACUUGGCUAUGCGGGCUCUCUUUUGGUUCCAUAUGAAGUUCAUGGUGGUUUUUUCCAGUUCUGUGAAGAAAGUCAAUGGUAGCUUGAUGGGGAUAGUGUUGAUUCUGUAAAUUACUUUGGGCAGUAUAGCCAUUUUCAUGAUAUUGAUUCUUCCUAACCAUGAACAUGGAAUGUUUCUCCAUCUGUUUGUGUCCUCUCUUAUUUCAUUGAGCAGUGGUUUGUAGUUUUCCUUGAAGAGGUCCCUUACGUUUUUUGUGAGUUGUAUUCCUAGGUAUUUUAUUAUUUUUGUAGCAAUUGUGAAUGGCAGUUCGUUCUUGAUUUGGCUUUCUUUAAGUCUGUUAUUGGUGUAGAGGAAUGCUUGUGAUUUUUGCACAUUGAUUUUAUAUUCUGAGACUUUGCUGAAGUUGCUUAUCAGUUUCAGAAGUUUUUGGGCUGAGGCGAUGGGGUCUUCGAGGUAUACUAUCAUGUCGUCUGCAAAUAGAGACAAUUUGCCUUCCACCUUUCCUAUUUGAAUAUCCUUUAUUUCUUUUUCUUGCCUGAUUGCUCUGGCUAGAACUUUCAGUACUAUAUUGAAUAGGAGUGGUGACAGAGGGCAUCCUUGUCUAGUGCCAGAUUUCAAAGGGAAUGCUUUCAGUUUUUGCCCAUUCAGUAUGAUAUUGGCUGUUGGUUUGUCGUAAAUAGCUUUUAUUAUUUUGAGAUACGUUCCAUCGAUACCGAGUUUAUUGAGGGUUUUUAGCAUAAAGGGUGGUUGAAUUUCGUCGAAUGCCUUCUCUGCAUCAAUUGAGAUAAUCAUUUGGUUUUUGUUUUUGGUUCUGUUUAUGUGGUGAAUUACGUUUAUAGACUUGCAUAUGUUGAACCAGUGUUGCAUCCCCGGGAUGAAUCCUACUUGAUCAUGAUGGAUAAGUUUUUUGAUUUGCUGUUGCAAUCGGCUUGCCAAUAUUUUAUUGAAGAUUUUUGCAUCUAUGUUCAUCAUGGAUAUUGGCCUGAAGUUUUCUUUUCUUGUUGGGUCUCUGCCGGGUUUUGGUAUCAGGAUGAUGUUGGUCUCAUAAGAUGAUUUGGGAAGGAUUCCCUCUUUUUGGAUUAUUUGGAAUAGUUUCAGAAGGAAUGGUAUUAGCUCCUCUUUGUGUGUCUGGUAGAAUUUGGCUGUGAACCCAUCUGGACCUGGGCUUUUUUUGUGUGGUAGGCUCUUAAUUGCUGCCUCGACUUCUGACCUUGUUAUUGGUCCAUUCAUAGUUUCAGCUUCCUCCUGGUUUAGGCUUGGUAGGACACAGGAGUCCAGGAAUUUAUCCAUUUCUUCCAGGUUUACUAGUUUAUGUGCAUAGAGUUGUUUGUAAUAUUCUCUGAUGAUGGUUUGAAUUUCUGUGGAAUCUGUGGUGAUUUCCCCUUUGUCAUUUUUUAUUGCAUCAAGAAAACUCUCUACCCCUUCUGGAAGACCUGAGGCAUGUCAGUUGCUUGGAGCUGUUUUCAUGAACAUAGCAAGGCUGGGGUGGGAUUGAAACAAUUGCAAUGAUGGAUGCAUUAUGUAACUUCUAACCAGCUUACGAGGGUCGGGGCAGGGCAGGGUGGAAGGACAGGAAAGGACUCCUACCAGUGCUGUCUUGUAUCCCAUGAGGCCCAUACUAGUGAGAAAGCCACAUAAUUAUCCUUGGUGCCACCCAUGGGAACUCCUUUCGGGGGCAGGUGUGGCCUUUCUACCUUUGCAUCCCUCCUCAGUUUUGCAAAGGGCUGACCUUUGAAGUAGACAGACAGUGGAAUCUUGUAUCCUAGGAUGUGAAGUCAGCCAUAGAAAGAGACAGAGAUGAGAAAGGAUGUAAAUGCAAUAGUUGUUAGCUUCUUUUAAACUCUUGCUCAGAUUCCAGUGAAAUAUAUCCAGAAAUAAAGUAUUUUACUAAUAGUUCACCAAACAGUGGGACUAAGAGUGGAUUCCUUCUCAGCCUAUCAGAAUUGUACUAUAGAAAUGGCUGAUUAAGAAAUUUGAUUAGAAGCUUGUUCUGGUUAUCUAUGGCAGUGCAAUGAACUACUGCAAAACUUAGUGGCUUAAGGUGACAAGCAUUGAAUUAUGCUUAUAGAGACUAUGAGCCAGUAACUUGGAUGGUUAAUCCCUCCUCCACAGUAAAUGGGGCCUCCAAGUGGCUGAGGGCUGUAAUUUUCUGGAGGCUUUUCACUCACAUGUCUGGCUGGGAUGACUUGAAUGAAGCCUUGGCUCAAUGGAAAAUGUCAACCAGGGCACCUACACAUGGCCUCUGUGUGGCUUGGGCUUUUCACAGCACAAUGUCUGGGUGCCAAGAGGAGCAUCCAGAGAUGAAGCAGAUGGAUCCAUGCAGCCUAGUUUCAGAAAUCAUAAAGUGGUCACUUUUUCUGCAUUUUUUUUUUGGCAUAAGUGAACACUAAGGUCAGACCAUAUUCAAGGGAAGGGUAUUAGAUUCUCCUUGUUAGAGAAAUGGUGAGAUUAUGCUGCAGAGGAGCAUGUGGGAGAGUGGAUUUUGUCAUGGCCAUGUUGGAAAAUGAAAUACAGUCUACCACAAGGAUAUGUAUGUAUGUAUCUGUGUAUAUAAAUAAUCACCUGUUUUCCCAUGUUAGGAUCUGAGGGAGGAAUUCUGUUGGCAUCCGGGUGUCAGGGAGUACAGGAUAUGCAUAUUAGGGGGUGUAAGGUGGGCAGGAGAUUAAAGUCAAUAUUUACUCAUCAGAAGAGAGGGCCUGAAUAAAACUCUCUUUGGUAAACCAAACUAGCAAUUAAAAAUCAACAUGAGGCCUUUGAAAAAUGUCUGCAACUUGAGAGUAGGGGACCAUUGCCUUGGAGACACAGAUGGAAUGUAUUUGAAAAAUGAUCUACUAAAGGAAACAGAAGAAAGUUUUUGAAAUCUUCUCUAGAAGGCUGAAAGAACAUAACAGAAACUUCAGAAAGUAAUCAGUUCCCAUGACUAGAAAGUUGAGAGUCUCCUUUAGAAUGCAGAAGGAGUCAUUAAAGAAAUAAGCAUGAUAACAGCAAAAUGAAUCAAUAUGGAAGCCAGAAAAUAGACAGUGAAAUCAUGAGUAUCAGGGGCUUCUGAAGAUGAAGUCAGCAAACAUGGUAUCAAAGUAAUAAUAAAAGAUAUAAAGAAGAAAACGUUCCCAAAUGGAAGAAAGAUUGAGUCAGCAUUCGACAGUACUUUAUAGCUCCCAGAGAAAAUAGUUAAGACCUGCUUGCAUACUCAUCCUGGUAGAAAACGUAUGAACCUCAUAGACACACAAAAGCACUGAUGCAAAACCCCAAGGCCCCAACGUUUUUUAAAAAAUAAAACCCAAGCUAAAUUCAGACUUCAUUUCUACUUUAUUAAACAUCAGAUAAUCUCCAUAGCAUGAAGCACUAGAUAGUAGUGGGCUUGGAGGAAAACAAGUUGUGAUCUAAGAAGUCAUCCAAGUUUUUGUUAAUGUGUGAAAGCAACAAAAGAAUAUUUUCGUAUAUAUGAGUGUUCAGAGAGACUGUCACAUAUGUAUCAUGUCUAGAAAAAAAUGGAAGUUAAGUCUGUUGAUGGCUUCUGGAAUGAGAAAACACACACUACAAUAAAUUUAAUAAUAAUUAUUGAAUUUCAUAUUGGAUUAACAGUGUGAAGACUGGCAAAUAGUUAAGGGAAAGACAAUGCUCAGCUUACAUAGGAAGAAAUGACAAAUGGACUGUUUCCACUUCUAAAAGCAGCGUGAAGAUUGGUGGAGCCAAGUGGAGGAUGCCCUGCUAUAAUAUUUGCACAUGAGGUGGCAGUUGAGAAAGGAGGAAGCCUGUCUAGAAUGUUCCAAAAAGUCUCCAGACUUCAAUCUCAGGGACAGCAGCUGAGAGAGGGGGAGUGAGAGUUUGCAGAAAGCAGAGAAUUGAAGGUUAUAUUUAAAGACCCUUUUAUAUAAGGACACAUAGUCCACUUCCUCCUUCAGAAAGCCCAGCAACCCAAUAUUUCCCUCCAGGCAAAAACAGCAACAGCAACAAAACAAAAGCCCAGAGUGUUCUUUUUUAGAGAAAUUGAACAAAUAUUUGGGAAGAACUAGGGCUGUUAGUGUGGGUGUUAUUGCCCUGCAGUAAAGCUCUUCACAUUCUAUCAUCUAGAUAGCCUUCAGUAAAGCUGGCUCUCACUUUCUCACCCUGUUACCCUAAAGGGAAGCUUGCCAGUUGAUAAAUUCUGCUCCUAGUCAGCCUUACAGUUAAGGAUGUUUACCUCCUGGAAGAUAAAGUAAAAGAUAAUCAUAAAAAACUGACCUCUGAAGAAACAAAAUUCAGAGAACUGAAGAUAAUUUUAAAAUGUUGACAACUCUACUGUUCUCUGAAAUUUUAGAAGACACUGGAAGCUAUUGCCUCCAUAAGGGGAGAACUAAAUGCUGUGAAAAAUGAAAAAUACAAAGAACAACGAAGAACCCUUGGAAAUUAGAGAGAGAUGAAACAUUCGCUGGAAUGAUUGGGAGAAAAAGCUGAGGAAACCUCUUAAAAACAGUGCAACAGGAGAGGGUAAGAGGAGAUAAAACAUACAGGUCAAUUAAGAAGAGGAUUUUAAAUGAAAAAGACACAGGCACACGUUUAUAGCAGCACAAUUCGCAAUUACAAAAAUAUGGAACCAAUGUAAAUGCCCAACAACCAACAAGUGGAUAAUGAAAACGUGGUAUAUAUGCAUGAUGGAGUACUGCUCAGCCGUGACACGGGAUGAAAUAACGGCUUCUGAAGCAACUUGGAUGGAGCUGGAGGCCGUUAUUCUGUGUGAAUUAACUCAGGAAUAGCAAACCAAAUACCCUGUGUUCUCAUGCCUUAGGACAUGCCUUGUGCUUUAGAACACAUGCCUAUGUUCUUAUGCCUAAGAAUAUAGGAUAGUUCUUAUGGCUUACGGCUAAGCUGUGAGGAGGUAAAGGCAUAAGAAUGAUAUAAUGGAUUUUGGGGA